rnacentral:rRNA from 1 species
GGCAGACGGGUGAGUAACAUGUAGGUAUCUUCCCAUUGGUGAGGAAUAACACGAGGAAACUUGUGCUAAUACCUCAUAAGUCUUUACGGAGAAAGCUUUAUGCGCCGAUGGAUGAGCCUGCACUUGAUUAGUUUGUUGGUAGGGUAAUGGCCUACCAAGACAAUGAUCAAUAGCUGAUUUGAGAGGAUGAUCAGCCACAUUGGGACUGAGACACGGCCCAAACUCCUACGGGAGGCAGCAGUAGGGAAUCUUGCACAAUGGGGGGAACCCUGAUGCAGCGAUGCCGCGUGAGUGAAGAAGGCCUUUGGGUUGUAAAGCUCUUUCGUCGGGGAAGAAAAUGACUGUACCCGAAUAAGAAGGUCCGGCUAACUUCGUGCCAGCAGCCGCGGUAAUACGAAGGGACCUAGCGUAGUUCGGAAUUACUGGGCUUAAAGAGUUCGUAGGUGGUUAAAAAAGUUGGUGGUGAAAUCCCAGAGCUUAACUCUGGAACUGCCAUCAAAACUUUUUAGCUAGAGUAUGAUAGAGGAAAGCAGAAUUUCUAGUGUAGAGGUGAAAUUCGUAGAUAUUAGAAAGAAUACCAAUUGCGAAGGCAGCUUUCUGGAUCAUUACUGACACUGAGGAACGAAAGCAUGGGUAGCGAAGAGGAUUAGAUACCCUCGUAGUCCGUGCCGUAAACGAUGUGUGUUAGACGUUGGAAAUUUAUUUUCUGUGUCGCAGCGAAAGCAGUAAACACAC